CAGAUGCUCCCUCAGCUUAGGUGAAGGGUGACUACACCCGGAAGCUUGCCAAAACCUUUUUUCCAACUACUCAGUUGGUCUAAUAAAAGAUAUCACAUCUACUCAAAAACCUUGC